rnacentral:lncRNA from 1 species
CUGGGAUGUGCUUUUCUUGCAGGGCUCCCUCUGUAAAGGUCCUAAGCAAACUGAUGGCACAUAGAGGUUUUUGUAGCCAACCUUCAAGAUGGCCCCCAAUGAUUCUUUCAUGUUGGAAUUCAUGCCACGUGCAGUCCCCUCCCACACUGAAUAGGGCUGACGUGUGUAACCAACAAGAUAUUGCAGAAAUGAUGGAGUGUGAUGUCCAAGACUAUGUCAUAAAAGACGUUACAGCUUCCACCUUGCUCUCUCUUGGAUCCCUUUUCUGGAAGAAGCCAGCUGCCAUGUUGUGAGAACACUCAAGCAGCCUUACAAGAGGUCCGCG